CCCUUUGAUGUUCUGGGCCGCACGCGCGCUACACUGACGGAGUCAACGAGUUGUCCUGCAUCGGAAGGUGUGGGUAAUCUUUUGAAACUUCGUCGUGCUGGGGAUAGAUCUUUGCAAUUUUCGAUCUUGAACGAGGAAUUCCUAGUAAGCGUGAUUCAUCAGAUCGCGUUGAUUACGUCCCUGCCCUUUGUACACACCGCCCGUCGCUACUACCGAUUGAAUGGUUUAGUGAGGCCUCGGGACUGGCGCGCUCGAGUAGCAAUACACCUGCGCGCCGGGAACUUGGUCAAACUUGAUCAUUUAGAGGAAGUAAAAGUCGUAACA
rnacentral:rRNA from 1 species